GAACGAGGAUAUAUCCUUCGGGAUAUAAGCCGAGUGGCACAAGGGUGAGCAAUGCAUAGAUUACCUACCUUUAGGAUAAGGGCAACUUUGUGAAAACGGAGCUAAUACUUAAUAAUACAAAAGAAAAUAAUUUUCUUUUGUCAAAGGGAGGGUAGCAAUACCUUUCGCCUAGAGAGGGGUUUAUGUCCUAUCAGCUUGUUGGUGGGGUAAUAGCCCACCAAGGCGAAGACGGGUAGCCGGUUUAAGAGGAUGGUCGGCCACACUGGGACUGAGACACUGCCCAGACUUCUACGGAAGGCUGCAGUCGAGAAUCUUUCGCAAUGCCCGAAAGGGUGACGAAGCGACGCCGCGUGGGUGAAGAAGGCCUUCGGGUUGUAAAGCCCUGUCAGGAGUUAUGAAAUGUAAGUGCGCUAAUAUCGUGCUUAUUUGACAAAGGCUCCAAAGGAAGCCACGGCUAACUCUGUGCCAGCAGCCGCGGUAAUACAGAGGUGGCGAGCGUUGUUCGGAAUUAUUGGGCGUAAAGAGCACGUAGGUGGGUUUGCAAGUCAGAUGUGAAAGCCUUCUGUUCAACGGAAGAAUUGCAUCUGAAACUGCUAAUCUUGAGUAUAGGAGGGGAGAAUGGAACUUCUGGUGGAGCGGUGAAAUGCGUAGAUAUCAGAAGGAACGCCGGCGGCGAAAGCGAUUCUCUGGCCUAUUACUGACACUCAGUGUGCGAAAGCUAGGGGAGCAAACGGGAUUAGAUACCCCGGUAGUCCUAGCCGUAAACGAUGGGCACUAAGUAGAGGGAAUUACCUAUAUUCUCUCUGCCGUAGCUAACGCAUUAAGUGCCCCGCCUGGGGAGUACGGCCGCAAGGCUAAAACUCAAAAGAAUUGACGGGGGCUCGCACAAGCGGUGGAGCAUGUGGCUUAAUUCGAUGCAACGCGAAAAACCUUACCGGGGCUUGACAUGAUAGAAGUAGGAACCUGAAAGGGGGACGAACGGUAUCCAGUCCGUAGCUAUCACAGGUGUUGCAUGGCUGUCGUCAGCUCGUGUCGUGAGACGUUGGGUUAAGUCCCCUAACGAGCGAAACCCUUGUUUUUAGUUACCAGCGGGUUAUGCCGGGUACUCUAGAAAGACUGCCGUCGUCAAGACGGAGGAAGGUGGGGAUAACGUCAAGUCAUCAUGGCCCUUAUGCCCCGGGCUGCACACGUGCUACAAUGGUCGGUACAGACGGAAGCGAAGCCGAGAGGUGAAGCGAAUCCUAAAAAGCCGAUCUCAGUUCGGAUUGGAGGCUGAAAUUCGCCUCCAUGAAGUUGGAAUCGCUAGUAAUCGCGGAUCAGCAAUGUCGCGGUGAAUAUGUUCCCGAGCCUUGUACACACCGCCCGUCAAGCCACCCAAGCAGGAUGCACCCGAAAACAUUAUAUCUAACCAGGGCAACUUGGAGGAAAAUGUUGAAGGAGUGUUUUGUGA
rnacentral:rRNA from 1 species